GCCAGUGUAGUGUAGUGGCUUGAACAUUGGACUAUGAACCUGGAGACCAGGGUUUAAAUCACUGCUCAGCCA
rnacentral:tRNA from 1 species